AAAUGUGUUAAUUUAACAAAUUGCAAGAAAAUUGCAAUGUAUAUUUCUGAUUUUAAAAUGAAGUUCUGCAACUUUUCAAACCUCGACAUCCCAGGCUCAAGCAAUCCUUUGGCCUCAACCUCCCAAGUAGCUGGGAACACAGGUGCGCACUGGCAUGCCAGGAUAAUUUUUUAUUUUUUUUUGUAGAGAUGGGGUCUCCCUGUGUUGCCCAGGCUGGUCUCAAACUCCUGGGCUCAAGUGAUCCUCCUGCUUUGGCCUCCCAAAGUGUUGA
rnacentral:lncRNA from 1 species